CAAAUCGUGAUAUCCGCACGCGUGCACCGUGCUGUUGUUCCGGUGUGCAGCUGGUGUAAUCGCGGUUUCAAAUCCUCAUCCGAUGUCUGGCAUAACAUAUAAUAACAGCUAUGAUACAAAUCACUAGCUAGUUUUCUAGUUCUGGGUCGUGGAAUAGGCGGUACAUUCAAAAGUGAAUCUUGGUCUAGAGAUUCGAUUCGGACAAGUCACGCGAAGUGUAAACAUGCUUCCGCCGGCCAAGUGGAGUGCAAUCUUAUUCUUGCAAUCGUUUCCUUUUGGAGAACAAGAGGCAAUGUAGUUUGUCCAAUUCUCAUACGGGAGAAUCUGCUUGGAAAUGUAACGUGGGAAUGAAAAGUGAUUUGGUAAUUAUAGUUUAACGAAUUUUAUAAAUAUUUGAAGCUUAAAAACAACUACAUUUUUAUUUUUAUUUUUAAGAGGAAAAUAUUUGGGAAACACGAGUCAAUAUUGAGGAUUAUUGUUGUGUAAAUAUAAGAAAAUAUUGAGGAUUAUUGUUAUAUAAAUAUUGCCAAUCCAUCGAUUAAAAACUCAUACUAUUAUAAUAAUACAUUCAUGAAUCACCUUCGCCAACAAGAUUAAUUUAUUCUACGAAUUUUUAAACAUUAUUCACAAUUUUCAAAAAUGCAGCUUUCAACUCAGCAAUCGAAUGCUAAUUUAUCUAGAAAUUUUUAUACGCGCCGAUGUUAGCGUGGAUCAUCGAAAAGAAAAUUCGAUGGACGAAUCUUCGUUCUCUGGUCUGCCAAUCAGUUUAUAUUAAAUUUACGUAACACCAUGAAUAUUAAAACCGACAAACAUUCGUUCUUGCGAAGAAACAUCUUCGAUCAUGAACCAUAAAUCACCGUUGGAACAACUCAAAGUAGAUAUAAAUGUUCACUAUCCUCGAUCAUCUUCAUAUAUUCAGGUACUUUCUCCAUAUAUACGUACAAUUUUUUUCUUUUUUUUUUAAUUAAUCCCAACAUAAUUCAAUCAAUCGUAGAAAAUUAA